ACUAAUCAGAUCCACAAAGACCCCGUUUCUACAUAAGGACAUGUUCUGAUGGUUAAGAUGUCAAACAUAGCGAUACCUCAGUCUACCGGACACCAUGUAACCCAGAGCAGUCACUUAGAUGGACAGACCUCACUUGCCGCAUACACAGACCCACUUUCUGUGGUUACUAAUGAAUGUGCUGUUCUGUCAGAGGCUGAAAAUUAAGGAGAGUUCCUCUCUGGAAAGGUGGCCUACCCACAAGCUAGACCACAGCUGUUUGUUGCUAGACCAUUGCCACCUUUCACGGCAUAUGGUCCUGUGACAGUAGGCUGCCUUCUGUGUUCUCACGCACACCCAUAUAUAGACACUAGGGCUUUGGCAGGAAGAGAAUGACGUCGAGGUUGAGUGUGUUUGAAAGAGCGUGGCCACAUGUAACUGAUAACAACACAGGACUCCCGGUUAAAUUUCAAUUUCAGAUAAACAGUGAGCAAUUUUUCAAUAUAGGCAUGUUCCAAAUGAUAUCUGGAGCAUAUUUCUACAUUAAAAGUGAUGACGUUCAUGCGUAAUCGGGUCUCUCAGAUUUUGACCCCGUGGUGGAAAAGCCCUUGAUAUGAGCUCUGGGAUCAUCUGCAACCCCAUCCUCUACUUUAAGUGGCUCUGACGACUCUCUCCGAAGACUCACCAAGACCACGCCCAUGUGCCGCUCCAGAGAGGCCCCUCUCAGCUCAGGAAACCAACCACUGACUGACCCAUCCUGGGAAGGCGCCACCCCCCUCCCUGCUGGACUGGCAGCAACCAUCCUGUUUACCCCGAUCACCCCUGGCUACCGGUCUGACGACUCUCCCUUUCCUGUCCUCGUCACGGGAAGUUAGGCAUCGGUUCUGACUUCUUACAGAAUGUCUCAAAGCACAGGGAAGAUUGUAGGCGCCCAAGACCACCAUGCAGACACAGAGUCACCGCACGGGGCUGCAUCUACAAGGUCUUUCCCUUUCCUGGUUCAUCUGGGAGAGAUCCAGAGUGCUGGCAAGAGCCUUCUACAAAAAGGUAGACGUAGAAGGAAAAAGACCAUGAGACCAAAAAGGCUGUGUUACCUGAACAACAGGGUUGUUGGAAAGGACCAGGGUCAGCGUGAUGCUUUGAAGAUUAAUGGGCCCAUAUAACCGUGGAUUGGUGUGAGCUUUCUCCGGGGACAUUACACAGAGCUCAGAGGACUUGCAUGCGAAAUGCAGCACGGAGCCCGCGGCUCUCGUUACGGGCGCCAGAGGCCUCUUUAUCACAUUCCAUUGAAGCCAUUGCAGGAGGGGCCAUGAGGAGCCAUUCCAAUGCUCUUGCUUUGAGACCAAAAAGUGGGGGCGCCCACGUGGCUCAGUCGGUUAAGCAUCUGACUUCAACUCAGGUCAUGAUCUCACUGUCUGUGAGUUUG